GGGGGAUAUUGCACAAUGGAGGAAACUCUGAUGCAGCGACGCCGCGUGAGGGAAGAAGGUCUUCGGAUUGUAAACCUCUGUCUUUAGGGACGAAACAAAUGACGGUACCUAAAGAGGAAGCCACGGCUAACUACGUGCCAGCAGCCGCGGUAAUACGUAGGUGGCGAGCGUUGUCCGGAUUUACUGGGUGUAAAGGGUGCGUAGGCGGGUUAUCAAGUUGGGUGUGAAACCUCCGUGCUUAACACGGAGCCUGCAUUCAAAACUGGUAAUCUUGAGUGAGGUAGAGGUAGAUGGAAUUCCCGGUGUAGCGGUGAAAUGCGUAGAGAUCGGGAGGAACACCAGUGGCGAAGGCGGUCUACUGGGCCUUAACUGACGCUGAGGCACGAAAGCAUGGGUAGCAAAC
rnacentral:rRNA from 1 species